rnacentral:rRNA from 1 species
GAUGAACGCUAGCGGGAGGCUUAACACAUGCAAGUCGAGGGGUAAAUGGUAGCAAUACUAUGAGACCGGCGGACGGGUGCGUAACGCGUAUGCAACAUACCCUUGUGCAGGGGGAUAGCCCGUGGAAACGCGGAUUAAUAUUCCAUAGUCCAGCUAUAUCGCAUGGUAUAGUUGGUAAAGAUUUAUCGGCACAAGUUUGGCAUGCGUCUGAUUAGCUUGUUGGUAGGGUAACGGCCUACCAAGGCUACGAUCAGUAGGGGUUCUGAGAGGAUUAACCCCCACACUGGUACUGAGACACGGACCAGACUCCUACGGGAGGCAGCAGUGAGGAAUAUUGGUCAAUGGGCGGAAGCCUGAACCAGCCAUCCCGCGUGAAGGAAGACAGCCUUACGGGUUGUAAACUUCUUUUCUGUCAGAAGAAUAAGCUUGUCGAGACGAGUGAUGCCGGUAUGACAGGAAUAAGCAUCGGCUAACUCCGUG